ensembl:snRNA U2 U2 spliceosomal RNA
AACUGACCUUCACCAAAAGGCCAAGAGGCGAAUGUAGUAGCUAUUCCUACCAGUUUAUAUCUGAAAGAUCCUCUAUCUAAGGACAAUAUAUUAAAUGGGUUUGGGGAACUAGGAAAUCAAAUAGGAACUUGCUCCAUCCAUUCAAUGCCUUGACUUGGUUUUGCAUUUCUUCCAGGAAGGGUGUAUCCCCU